rnacentral:rRNA from 1 species
GACGAACGCUGGCGGCGUGCUUAACACAUGCAAGUCGAACGCGCCUGUCCUCUGGGUUUCUGGGGGGUGGGUGAGUGGCGAACGGGUGAGUAACACGUGAGUAACCUGCCCCCUUCUUCGGGAUAACGGUCUGAAAGGGCUGCUAAUACCGGGUAUUCACUGGUCUCCGCAUGGGGUCUGGUGGAAAGGUUUUUUUCUGGUGGGGGAUGGGCUCGCGGCCUAUCAGCUUGUUGGUGGGGUGAUGGCCCACCAAGGCUUUGACGGGUAGCCGGCCUGAGAGGGUGACCGGUCACAUUGGGACUGAGAUACGGCCCAGACUCCUACGGGAGGCAGCAGUGGGGAAUAUUGCACAAUGGGCGCAAGCCUGAUGCAGCGACGCCGCGUGAGGGAUGGAGGCCUUCGGGUUGUGAACCUCUUUCGCCCGUGGUCAAGCCGCGACGUGGGUCGUGGUGAGGGUAGUGGGUAAAGAAGCGCCGGCCAACUACGUG